rnacentral:rRNA from 1 species
CUUAANACAUGCAAGUCGAGGGGUAUGCCGAUUUAUCGGCAGAGACCGGCGCACGGGUGCGUAACGCGUAUGCAAUCUACUUUCACAGAGGGAUAGCCCAGAGAAAUUUGGAUUAAUACCUCAUAGUAUAGCGGUUUCGCAUGAAACCACUAUUAAAGUUCCAACGGUGAAAGAUGAGCAUGCGUCCUAUUAGCUAGAUGGUAAGGUAACGGCUUACCAUGGCUACGAUAGGUAGGGGUCCUGAGAGGGAGAUCCCCCACACUGGUACUGAGACACGGACCAGACUCCUACGGGAGGCAGCAGUGAGGAAUAUUGGACAAUGGGCGCAAGCCUGAUCCAGCCAUGCCGCGUGCAGGAAGACGCAUCUAUGGUGUGUAAACUGCUUUUGUACGGGAAGAAACACUCCUACGUGUAGGAGCUUGACGGUACCGUAAGAAUAAGGAUCGGCUAACUCCGUG